ACCAUUUCAGCUACAGUACAUGCCUUAGUUAGCAUGAUGUGAAUACCAGGAUAUGCUACAGCUGGUGAACGGACUUCCUUUUGGGAAUGGUAAAGUGAGUAACCUCUAAUGAUGUGUUUCAAAUGUUAAUGGAAGAUUCAGGAAGAUGAUGAAGAGGAAGAGGGAAAAAAUGGCACAGAAUUAAAAAAAAAAGAAUCCUUUUACCUUUAGCACGGAAACUCCUGACUUUGGUUCAUCAGACAGGCAGCCAAACGUUCAGACUGGAUUUGGCAUUCUUAUCCACCCAGAUCAGCAGAGAUUAACUCCAGACCAACAAUCAAUUAAACAAUACCCCAAGAAGCUGCUAAAGAAGCCAACAGCAAACAGUUCGACUAAAGAACCUCUAAGACCAUCCUCAUCAAUACACUAGGCAAGCCACUAGAAUAUAAACUGAACGCAAACU